GCUUAGAAACACCAGAGGGGAGUUACUAGUAGAGUUCGCAGGACGCAAUAAUUUACGAAUCUCGGAUACCUUCUACCGAAAACGGUCGAACCGUAAGUGGGCAUGGAGGAGCCCUACUGGCGAAACUAAGAAUGAAAUAGACUUUAUAAUCGAGUGCA
rnacentral:lncRNA from 1 species